GAUGAACGCUGGCGGCGUGCCUAAUACAUGCAAGUCGAGCGAACAGACGAGGAGCUUGCUCCUCUGACGUUAGCGGCGGACGGGUGAGUAACACGUGGAUAACCUACCUAUAAGACUGGGAUAACUUCGGGAAACCGGAGCUAAUACCGGAUAAUAUAUUGAACCGCAUGGUUCAAUAGUGAAAGACGGUUUUGCUGUCACUUAUAGAUGGAUCCGCGCCGCAUUAGCUAGUUGGUAAGGUAACGGCUUACCAAGGCGACGAUGCGUAGCCGACCUGAGAGGGUGAUCGGCCACACUGGCACUGAGACACUGUCCAGACUCCUACGGGAGGCAGCAGUAGGGAAUCUUCCGCAAAGGGCGAAAGCCUGACGGAGCAACGCCGCGUGAGUGAUGAAGGUCUUCGGAUCGUAAAACUCUGUUAUUAGGGAAGAACAAAUGUGUAAGUAACUAUGCACGUCUUGACGGUACCUAAUCAGAAAGCCACGGCUAACUACGUG
rnacentral:rRNA from 1 species